GGGAUAUCUGAUGGAGCAGAGUGGCUCUCUGUCCCAUCGAUCUAGGAGAAGCUCGGAUAUUUUUGAGGCUGCUGACGAGUCUACUGUUGUCGGAUGCCUCAGGCGCUGAUGCCACAGGCGGGAGUCAUCUGCUGUAGAAGCUCGAAUGGAGACUCUUUGUUGGUGAAGCCUGGUAGGGGUCCGAUUGCUAGAGAAGUCCGUCUGGGAUUCG
rnacentral:lncRNA from 1 species